rnacentral:rRNA from 1 species
AGUGAACGCUGGCGGCAGGCCUAACACAUGCAAGUCGAACGGCAGCACAAGAGAGCUUGCUCUCUGGGUGGCGAGUGGCGGACGGGUGAGGAAUGCAUCGGAAUCUGCCCAUUUGUGGGGGAUAACCUCGGGAAACCGGGACUAAUACCGCAUACGACCUACGGGUGAAAGCAGGGGAUCUUCGGACCUUGCGCAGAUGGAUGAGCCGAUGCCGGAUUAGCUAGUUGGAGGGGUAAAGGCCCACCAAGGCGACGAUCCGUAGCUGGUCUGAGAGGAUGGUCAGCCACACUGGGACUGAGACACGGCCCAGACUCCUACGGGAGGCAGCAGUGGGGAAUAUUGGACAAUGGGCGCAAGCCUGAUCCAGCCAUGCCGCGUGUGUGAAGAAGGCCUUCGGGUUGUAAAGCACUUUUGUUGGGAAAGAAAAGCAGCCGGUUAAUACCCGGUUGUCAUGACGGUACCCAAAGAAUAAGCACCGGCUAACUUCGUG